CAGCUCCCAUGACCCUCAGCACUUGCCUGGAACACCUGGUUCUGGGGAAACAAUAGAGAAGAACUUAAUUUCAUCACCCCACAGUGAGCCUUGUUCUGGUGAAGUUCUGGAAACUCCCAUCAGGCUGCAGAUGCUCCUGGGUGAUAUGGCAGAGCAAGGAGGGAGCCACAGGCUUGGUAGUUCAGGACGCAGCUAGAGCGGUUCUGUGGACUGGCAGCCCACUUGAGAAACCCUGUGCCUCUUCUGCCUCUAGGUUAUUGCACUCCACUCAGCAUGGCGGCUGUACUGCCACCAGAUCCGAAGUUUGUCCUUCGAGGCACCCAGGCAGCGGUGCAUGCACUGCAUUUCUGUGGAGAAGCCCAGGUGCAGGGGCACCCACUCCUCCUCUCAGGGUCCCAGGGUGGACUGGUGCACAUCUGGAGCCUGCAGACACGGAGAGUGGUCACCAACCUGGAUGGUCAUAGGGGCCAGUGUGUGACCUGGCUGCAGACGCUGCCCCAAGGACCUCAGCUCAUCAGUCAGGGUCGGGACCUGAAGCUGUGCCUAUGGGACCUGGCAGAGGGCAGGAACACUGUCGUGGAUUUUGUAUGCCUGGAAAGCAUGGGCUUCUGCAGGGGCUCCAUCCUGGCUGGGGACCAGCAGCACUGGACAUUGGCUGUGCCAGGGAAAGGCGUUGAUGAGGUUCAGAUUCUGGAGAUGCCAUCCAAGACGUCAGUGUGCACCCUGAAGCCGGAGGCAGAUGCCAAGCCGGGCAUGCCCAUGUGCCUGAAGCUGUGGCAGGCCAACUCUAGCCUGCGUCCCCUCCUUCUGGUCGGCUAUGAGGACGGAUCGGUGGCUUUGUGGGACAUCUCUGAGCGGAAGAUCUGCAGCCGCAUUGCCUGCCACACAGAGCCUGUCAUGAGCCUUGACUUUGAUUCUCAGAAAGCCAGGGGUGUCUCAGGCUCUGCUGAGAAGGCGUUGGCUGUCUGGAGCCUGGAUGAGCAGCAGGGCCUGCAGGUGUGCAGAACUCACAACAUUACCAAUCCUGGGAUUGCUGACAUCAAGAUCCGACCAGACCGCAAAAUCCUGGCCACUGCAGGCUGGGACCACCGUGUCCGUGUGUUUCACUGGAAGACAAUGAAGCCACUGGCUGUGCUGGCCCUCCACAGUGCUACCGUCCAUUGUGUGGCCUUUGCUGCCAAUGGCUUAUUGGCUGCAGGGUCUGGGGAUCAGCGCAUCAGUGUCUGGUCGCUCUACUCCAGUGCGUGACUUGGGAUACUCAAGGACAGGGAAGCAAGCACCUGCCCUCUGUUUGACCUGGGGUAUGGAAACCCUGCCAACAGACCCCUGAGGACAGCACGCCACAGGGUCUCCUCCUUCAGUUAUAUGAAGAGCCUGUUCUGUGGAAUCCUUGAUUUCUUCUGAGGCUGUGUUUCCUUAUGUGAAAUAUUGCAUUUAUAAGACAAUGACUGUGGUUUUCAAAGAGUAACUGAGACAGACAUCUGGGCAUCUGUGGCCCAGGUAAAAGGCCAACCUGGAGAUUCUUUACAAUAAAUUUCCAGUUGCAAACUUAUGGCUCAAGGCAGGGAUUCUCUGAGGAGACUCCCUUGAUUCUAUUCCUCCCUAGAGGAAGAACCAAGAUCCAAGAUUGUCACAUCCUCCCCAGGGCCUGCCAGUGCCACAUGCUUCUCACCCCACAGCUAGUGAGGAGCUCUUGAUACACAGGGCUAUGACCAACACCAGGACUAGGAGGUCUUCACCUUCACCAGCAAACUGGUAUGUCCCAUAUGAUGGAGUUCUGCCAGUGACCAAGAGGGACCUGGAUGGACCUUUCAAAACACAGGAUGGAAGGCACAGCCGUGGACAUUCAAUCAAGGCCCUUGCAGGCUUUAAAAGCUCAGCUCAGGCUGCGCAGGGUGUCCCCUAGAGAUGGGGCUACACAAUGCACUUCUGUGGUGGUGCCCUCAGUGCUCUGAGCAGCCCCAGCAGCUCAGGCGGAGGAUGACGGGAGGCACCCCACACCACUGACAGAACCUGCCCUCAGUUGUUGGGUUGUCUCCCUAAAUCUGUAAAGAGAUGAGUGAAAGUAGGACUUGAUCAGUUCUCCAACCUUCACUUCAGGUCUGUAGGAAGCCCUGCUCUUGGGCACAGACAUGGAGGGCAGCCAUGAUGGCACAUUGGCUGACUGGCAGUAUUUGCCUAUCCCCAUGGUGGGGGCAGACCUAGGACAGGAAUGGGGUGUCUAGCCAUUGAGGGCCCUGCACCCCCAUGUGCCUACCUGAGAAGCAUUUUUGGCAAGACUCCCCCCAGAGCCCAGCAGCUCCUCGCACACCCAGACGCAUCUCUCUGUGGUAUCUGCGUGUUGUGAAAUCAGCCCCACUCUCUUCCCAGUCCCAAAGUGUCU